UACGUAGGGUGCGAGCGUUAAUCGGGAUUACUGGGCGUAAAGCGUGCGCAGGCGGUUUUGUAAGACAGAUGUGAAAUCCCCGGGCUUAACCUGGGAAUGGCAUUUGGGACUGCAAGGCUGGAGUGUGGCAGAGGAGACUGGAAUUCCUGGUGUAGCAGUGAAAUGCGUAGAUAUCAGGAGGAAUACCGAUGGCGAAGGCAGGUCUCUGGGCUGACACUGACGCUCAUGCACGAAAGCGUGGGGAGCAAACAGG
rnacentral:rRNA from 1 species